GCUGGGUGUGGUGGUGCUCGCCUUUAAUCCCAGCUACUUGGGAGGCUGAGGCACGUGAAUUGCUUGAACCCAGGAGACAGAGGUUGCAGUGAGCUGAAACUGCACCACUGCACUCCAGCCUGGGUGAUAGAGCAAGACCUUGUCUCAA
ensembl:misc_RNA Metazoa_SRP Metazoan signal recognition particle RNA